rnacentral:rRNA from 1 species
GGGGUGCUCGAGUGGCGAACGGGUGAGUAACACGUGAGUAACCUGCCCUUGACUUUGGGAUAACUUCGGGAAACUGGGGCUAAUACCGGAUAGGAGCUCCUGCUGCAUGGUGGGGGUUGGAAAGUUUCGGCGGUUGGGGAUGGACUCGCGGCUUAUCAGCUUGUUGGUGGGGUAGUGGCUUACCAAGGCUUUGACGGGUAGCCGGCCUGAGAGGGUGACCGGCCACAUUGGGACUGAGAUACGGCCCAG